rnacentral:rRNA from 1 species
GAGUUUGAUCCUGGCUCAGGAUGAACGCACAAGACGUGCCUAACACAUGCAAAUCGAAUGAAAAGAAUUAAUUAUUGUUUUCAUGGUGAACGGGUGAGUAACACAUAAGAAUCAGCUUUUAGAUAAGGCAUAAAAGAGUAAUAUCUUGGUAAUUCCUUAUAUGCGCAGCAGUGCUUAAAAAGGGGAGUCCCGUCUAAAAACGAGCUUAUGCCUGAUUAGCUAGUUGGCGAGUUAAAAGCUCACCAAGGCGAAGAUCAGUAGCUGGCCUGAGAGGGCGGCCAGCCACAUUGGGACUGAGACACGGCCCAAACUCCUACGGGAGGCAGCAGUGGGGAAUCUUCUGCAAUGGGCGCAAGCCUGACAGAGCGGCGUCGUGUGAAGGAAGAAGGCCUGAAAUAGGUUGUAAACUUCUUUUACUGAGUAAUGAAUAAUGACAACGCAGUAAAAAAGUAUCGGCUAACUCCGUGCCAGCAGCCGCGGUAAUACGGGGGAUGCAAGCGUUAUCCGGAAUCACUGGGCGUAAAGCGUCUGUAGGUGGUUUAGUGUGUUCUUAGUUAAAUUAUGAAGCCUAACUUCAUGAAAAGUGAGAAAACUAUUAGACUUGAGUACGAUAGGGGUAAGAGGAAUUCUUCGAGAAGUAGUGAAAUGCGAAGAUACGAAGGAGAAGAUCAUAAGCGAAGGCUUCUUACUGGGUCGUAACUGACACUGAGAGACGAAAGCUAGGGGAGCGAAUGGGAUUAGAUACCCCAGUAGUCCUAGCUGUAAACGAUGGAUAUUCGGUGCCGGAAAUUUUAUUAGAACAUUUCGGUACCCUAGCUAACGCGUUAAAUAUCCCGCCUGAGGAGUACGCUCGCAAGGGUGAAACUCAAAGGAAUUGACGGGGGCUCGCACAAGCGGUGGAGCAUGUGGUUUAAUUCGAUGCAAAGCGAAGAACCUUACCAGGGCUUGACAGUAUGUAU